UACGUAGGCAGCAAGCGUUGUUCGGAGUUACUGGGCGUAAAGGGUGCGCAGGCGGUUAUAUAAGACAGAUGUGAAAUCCCCGGGCUCAACCUGGGAACUGCGUUUGUGACUGUAUGACUAGAGUACGGUAGAGAGGGGUGGAAUUCCUGGUGUAGCAGUGAAAUGCGUAGAUAUCAGGAGGAACAUCGAUGGCAAAGGCGCCCCUUGGACCUGUACUGACGCUCAUGCACGAAAGCGUGGGGAGCAAACAGG
rnacentral:rRNA from 1 species